rnacentral:rRNA from 1 species
AACGAACGCUGGCGGCGCGUCUUAAACAUGCAAGUCGAACGGCAGGAAGGAGCUUGCCCCUUCUGAGAGUGGCGGACUGGUGAGUAACACGUGGGUGACAUACCUUUUAGUUGGGGAUAGCUAUUAGAAAUAGUAGGUAAUACCGAAUGUGACCGUACCUGUUAGAGGGGUACGAGGAAAGGAGCUAAGGCUUCGCUAAAAGAAUGGCUCGCGGCCCAUUAUGCUCGUUGGUGAGGUAACGGCCCACCAAGGCGAUGAUGGGUAUCCGGCCUGAGAGGGUGAACGGACACAUUGGGACUGAGAUACGGCCCAGACUUCUACGGGAGGCAGCAGUUAAGAAUAUUCCGCAAUGGACGAAAGUCUGACGGAGCGACGCCGCGUGGAUGAAGAAUGCCGAAAGGUUGUAAAAUCCUUUUAAGCCUGAUGAAUAAGCACAGUAGGGAAUGAUUGUGCGGUGACCGUAGGGCUUGAAUAAGCACCGGUUAAUUACGUG